CGUAGAAAUCAGGGCACCAAGAAGGCAGGGUGGCUGGAAUGUAUAAGGCAUAGGGAAGGGGAGGAGGGAGUAGAGAUCUGGAGAUUUCCAUAGAGUGACUCUCCAGUCUUUGGCUGUGUACUCAUUUCGACAUUCGUGAGGCGAAACUACACAGAGCCCUGGGGAAAAAACACUAGAUAGUAGUAGGCGAACAAUUUCCAGCACUUAGUCUGGUAUAAGAAUAGUUUGUGUUCCCACUAGAGAGCAGGGGGAGGUGACUCAGGAAAGCAUUGCAUUGCUUGGUGGGUAGGAGAUCUUACUUUUAGAGAAAAGGAAUUUUUUGUUACUACAUCGCUCAUACUUGAAUAGAGACAUUCAAAUUGAGUGACCUAAAGUCCUCUCUGGUGUCUCGAAGUUGAGAAAAGAAGGUCUUCCUGUUGCCUAACUGGAAGGGAUUCACACUCUGAACUCUUCCUUUGCUGAAUUCCCAGGGACCAGUCACUAGCCAGCACUGCAGCUUGAGAGAUCAAGAAAACAGGACGAUGUGGAUUCUGAGGGACAACGGCUGUUUUGGAGGAGCUUGCCAGAUUCUCCCUCCCCUUGACUCUCUUCAAAGCUACGUCUAGGGCAAAGUGACUCCUGGUCAGCCAGUGGGAACUGUCUGGAGAAGAGGCAGCUGUAUAUGGAAAGCAGCCAGCACACAGCAGAUGACGGAGGUCUGCUGCAGCCCCAGUAAUGGCACCAUUUCUCUUAAAACCAGGUUGGAGAAGCACUUCUGGAAUGGCAAAGUAAAGACUUCCAAAAUUCUUCUCCUCAAAAAAAUAUAGAAAGAAACAAAAGUAUAUCUAUUUGCAGAUGACUAUCUUGUACAUAGAAAUACUAAGGAGUCUACCAAAAAACUGUUAGAACCUGUAACCAAGUUCAGCAAGUUUGCAAGAUUCAAAGUCAAUAAAGACCUCAUUCUAUAGCA
rnacentral:lncRNA from 1 species